rnacentral:rRNA from 1 species
UCCGGUUGAUCCUGCCGGACCUGACUGCUAUCGGAUUGAUACUAAGCCAUGCGAGUCAUUGUAGUAAUACAAGGCAGACGGCUCAGUAACGCGUAGUCAACCUACCCUAUGGACGGGAAUAACCUCGGGAAACUGAGAAUAAUGCCCGAUAGAACAUUAUGCCUGGAAUGGUUUAUGUUCCAAAUGAUUUAUCGCCGUGGGAUGGGACUGCGGCCUAUCAGUUUGUUGGUGAGGUAAUGGCCCACCAAGACUAUUACAGGUACGGGCUCUGAGAGGAGUGGCCCGGAGAUGGGUACUGAGACACGGACCCAGGCCCUAUGGGGCGCAGCAGGCGAGAAAACUUUGCAAUGUGCGAAAGCACGACAAGGUUAAUCCGAGUGGUUUGUGCUAAACGAACCUUUUGUCAGUCCUAGAAACACUAACGAAUAAGGGGUGGGCAAGUUCUGGUGUCAGCCGCCGCGGUAAAACCAGCACCUCAAGUGGUCAGGAUGAUUAUUGGGCCUAAAGCAUCCGUAGCCGGCUCUGUAAGUUUUCGGUUAAAUCUGUACGCUUAACGUACAGGCUGCCGGGAAUACUGCAGAGCUAGGGAGUGGGAGAGGUAGACGGUACUCGAUAGGAAGGGGUAAAAUCCUUUGAUCUAUUGAUGACCACCUGUGGCGAAGGCGGUCUACCAGAACACGUCCGACGGUGAGGGAUGAAAGCUGGGGGAGCAAACCGGAUUAGAUACCCGGGUAGUCCCAGCUGUAAACUAUGCAAACUCAGUGAUGCAUUGGCUUGUGGCCAAUGCAGUGCUGCAGGGAAGCCGUUAAGUUUGCCGCCUGGGAAGUACGUACGCAAGUAUGAAACUUAAAGGAAUUGGCGGGGGAGCACCACAAGGGGUGAAGGCUGCGGUUCAAUUGGAGUCAACGCCGGA